rnacentral:tRNA from 2 species
GGAGACGUGGCUGAGCUGGUCGAAGGCACCUCACUGCUAACGAGGCAGGGUAGCAAUACUCUCGCGAGUUCGAAUCUCGCCGUCUCCGCAA